rnacentral:rRNA from 1 species
GAUGAACGCUGGCGGCGUGCUUAACACAUGCAAGUCGAACGAAGCACUUUAUUUGAUUUCCUUCGGGACUGAUUAUUUUGUGACUGAGUGGCGGACGGGUGAGUAACGCGUGGGUAACCUGCCUUGUACAGGGGGAUAACAGUUGGAAACGGCUGCUAAUACCGCAUAAGCGCACGGCAUCGCAUGAUGCAGUGUGAAAAACUCCGGUGGUAUAAGAUGGACCCGCGUUGGAUUAGCUAGUUGGUGAGGUAACGGCCCACCAAGGCGACGAUCCAUAGCCGACCUGAGAGGGUGACCGGCCACAUUGGGACUGGGACGCAGCCCAAACUCCUACGGGAGGCAGCAGUGGGGAAUCUUGCACAAUGGGCGAAAGCCUGAUGCAGCGACGCCGCGUGAGCGAAGAAGUAUUUCGGUAUGUAAAGCUCUAUCAGCAGGGAAGAUAAUGACGGUACCUGACUAAGAAGCACCGGCUAAAUACGUG